UAAAGAUUUGACGAUGGAGUCUUCAAUGAGAGAAGAAGCCUUACUAAUCCGGAAUAACAUGAAGGAUAGGGAAGAGAGCUUCCUGCAAGACUGUCAAUGGUCAGAUGACAAUUUGUGGAGAAUUGUGAUAUGUACAGAUACCCGGAAGACGCACACCGAAGUUGGGGAUACACGAAAUUAAUUAAUCUAAAUUGUUGCUAGCACAUAUACUAGCCGGCUUUA